ACAUAUGUAUCUAUAUAUUUUUGUAACUAUUUGAAUCGUACCGCACUUCUCUCGUACCGCAAAACACACUUUCCAUGUACCGUAUUUCUCCCGUAGUCUAAUUCGUAACAAACAUAUUAAUCGCCUUUCUCAAAAAAGAGAAAGAAGAAAAAGAGUCAUGUAAACUUAAAAACUUUUUCUCCUAGUUUUCUUCAUAAUAUACUAAAAUGUAUCAAGUCUUCCCACACUUUG